GACGAACGCUGGCGGCAUGCCUAAUACAUGCAAGUCGAGCGAACAGAUGAAGUGCUUGCACUUCUGACGUUAGCGGCGAACGGGUGAGUAACACGUAAGGAAUCUACCUAUAAGCGGGGGAUAACAUUCGGAAACGGGUGCUAAUACGGCAUAAUAUCUUCUUCCGCAUGGAAGAAGAUUGAAAGACGGCUCUGCUGUCACUUAUAGAUGACCUUGCGGUGCAUUAGUUAGUUGGUGGGGUAACGGCCUACCAAGACCAUGAUGCAUAGCCGACCUGAGAGGGUGAUCGGCCACAUUGGGACUGAGACACGGCCCAAACUCCUACGGGAGGCAGCAGUAGGGAAUCUUCCGCAAUGGGCGAAAGCCUGACGGAGCAAUGCCGCGUGAGUGAAGAAGGCCUUCGGGUCGUAAAGCUCUGUUAUAAGAGAAGAACAAAUUGUAGAGUAACUGCUACGGUCUUGACGGUAUCUUAUCAGAAAGCCACGGCUAACUACGUGCCAGCCGCCGCCGUAA
rnacentral:rRNA from 1 species